rnacentral:rRNA from 1 species
GACGAACGCUGGCGGCGUGCUUAACACAUGCAAGUCGAACGGAAAGGCCCUGCUUUUGUGGGGUGCUCGAGUGGCGAACGGGUGAGUAACACGUGAGUAACCUGCCCUUGACUUUGGGAUAACUUCAGGAAACUGGGGCUAAUACCGGAUAGGAGCUCCUGCUUCAUGGUGGGGGUUGGAAAGUUUCGGCGGUGGGGGAUGGACUCGCGGCUUAUCAGCUUGUUGGUGGGGUAGUGGCUUACCAAGGCUUUGACGGGUAGCCGGCCUGAGAGGGUGACCGGCCACAUUGGGACUGAGAUACGGCCCAGACUCCUACGGGAGGCAGCAGUGGGGAAUAUUGCACAAUGGGCGGAAGCCUGAUGCAGCAACGCCGCGUGCGGGAUGACGGCCUUCGGGUUGUAAACCGCUUUCGCCUGUGACGAAGCGUGAGUGACGGUAAUGGGUAAAGAAGCACCGGCUAACUACGUG